GAUGAAUGCUGGCGGCGUGCCUAACACAUGCAAGUCGAGCGGCAGCGAGGGGUGCUUGCACCCUGUCGGCGAGCGGCGAACGGCUGAGUAACGCGUAGGAAUUUGCCCCAAAGUGAGGAAUAACUGCCCGAAAGGGUAGCUAAUGCCGCAUAUGGUCUUCGGAUUAAAGGAUUUAUCCGCUUUGGGAGAAGCGUGCGUUGGAUUAGGUGGUUGGUAGGGUAAUGGCCUACCAAGCCGACGAUCCAUAGCUGGUCUGAGAGGAUGAUCAGCCAGACUGGAACUGAGACACGGUCCAGACUCCUACGGGAGGCAGCAGUGAGGAAUCUUCCACAAUGGGCGAAAGCCUGAUGGAGCAACGCCGCGUGAAGGAUGAAGGCCUUCGGGUUGUAAACUUCUUUUAUGAGUGAAGAAUAUGACGGUAACUCAUGAAUAAGCACCGGCUAACUACGUG
rnacentral:rRNA from 1 species